UACGAAGGGGGCUAGCGUUGUUCGGAAUCACUGGGCGUAAAGCGCACGUAGGCGGAUCUUUAAGUCAGGGGUGAAAUCCCAGAGCUCAACUCUGGAACUGCCUUUGAUACUGGGGAUCUCGAGUUCGGGAGAGGUGAGUGGAACUGCGAGUGUAGAGGUGAAAUGCGUAGAUAUCAGGAGGAACACCAGUGGCGAAGGCGGCUCACUGGCCCGGUACUGACGCUGAGGUGCGAAAGCGUGGGGAGCAAACAGG
rnacentral:rRNA from 1 species